UACGGAGGAUGCAAGCGUUAUCCGGAAUGAUUGGGCGUAAAGCGUCCGCAGGUGGCGAUGUAAGUCUGCUGUUAAAGAGUGAGGCUCAACCUCAUAAGAACAGUGGAAACUACAUAGCUAGAGUACGUUCGGGGCAGAGGGAAUUCCUGGUGUAGCGGUGAAGUGCGUAGAGAUCAGGAAGAACACCAGUGGCGAAGGCGCUCUGCUAGGCCGUAACUGACACUGAGGGACGAAAGCUAGGGGAGCGAAUGGG
rnacentral:rRNA from 1 species